CCAGAGAGCCACGGACAAGGGGCUGAGCAGAGGGGGGUCCAAUGCCAGUUGCUUAAAAAUGCCCUUGUAGCAUCAAGAGGUGCCAGAGUCCAGUCAUCUUAGUUGCGAAGCAGUGACACCCACAACCAUACCCCAAAUAGGCUGGGCCUCCACCUCCGAAGAGUCAUCCCUGGGCCAGACACGAGCCAAGGCAAGAGUGAUGGUGGGUAGGAUUCCUCCUGCACUAGAGAACAAUGAGCCCCAGAGAGGACUCUUUCUGAGAAGCAGAGAAGUGACGGUGAUCUGCUCCCAGAACUGAGCUUCCCAACAGACAGAAGACAGAGAUUCCCCAGGCUGGAGACAUUUUCUCAAGACGUGGGAAUAGGAGAAAAGGCUGGCCAGCCUCUAGCCGCAGGCCUCCAAGCUGCAGAGAGCCGACGCCAACAGCACCAGGUAAGAUCCAGGGUCUGCCUGGUUCAGCCACCUUUUUAACAGAACGGAGAACCAAGACCCAGAGAUGAAAGGGCCCAGUGAGAAACAUCUCUGUCGGCUGGAGAUGGAGCUUAGAUCCCCAAGCCUCUCUCGUCUUUGCAACGGCACUGCAGGGCGAAGGGCUUUUCUUGGAGAAACUGAUGUAGGUAGGCUACAUAGCUCUUCUCAGUGAAGCCUCACUGGAGGGAGGGUCUGGACAAACUCUGCCCAACACGUGUACAUGUGCAUGUUCCUGGGGCCAAAGAGAGAAGGCACACCUUCCUGUCCCACUGCUCCUCCCCGCCAUCCCAGUCCCCACCCUACCCCUUCCAGGAGGCCUUUUGUGUUAGCUGGUGGGGUGGGGGGUGAGGGAAGGAGCCUCCCUGGCUAUAAGCUCUUGGCGGUCCUUUCCCAGGCUCUCCGGAGUUCUGCUGAGUCUGCCCCAUGUCCUCCUCAGGUGCUUUCCUUCCUCCUCAGCCUUCUGUGCCCUGCGAGGGCAAGGACAGUAUUAAGGACAUACUCUCUGAGCACACAGAGGUGGUGCUGGGUCUGCUGAAUGAGCCAGCACUGCUAUGAGACCCUGUCGCAAGCCCAGAGGACUAAGAAAUCGAGCAUGGAGGUUAAGGUGAGGGGCCAGGCUCGGCUGCUCUGAGUUAGGAAGCCCAGCAUGGUGCCUUGUAUCCCUACCCUGGGAAAAUUAUAUUUCUCUGGAGCCUUGGCAACCUUUGGGGAUAUGUGCAAUUAAACGUUCACCAAUUUAAUUAGUCUAGAAUCAUAGGGACAGCACUAGACAGUCUUUAUCCAAGGAUGAGACAAGGAAGAUGGGGCAAGGACCUUUCUUGGCUGAACAUCUACCUGUUAGGACUGUCUGGCCGUUUACUUCUCCUUAAGAAAGAUGGGCCACCUUCUGUCCAUUCCUGUGUCACACCAAGAUGUAAAAUCUUGGCUGUGCUCUCCUUUAUCCCAGGCUAGGAUAGAAGCAGCUCUUAGUUCUCCCUUGGUGAAUCUGUGUCUGCAAAUCUAGAAGCCCCAACCCCACAACCCCCAUUCCUGGUCCUCCAGCCAAGGUGAUCAGUUCCAGCCAUACAAGCUGUCUGAAAGGUAGUGCAGGCUCUAGCAUGCUGGCCCAAACCUAGGCAUCAGAUGUCCUCUUUUUCACCUAUGUCUGCAAAUGAAUUAUAAAGUAUAAGGUGCAUCUUUGUAUGUACUUAAGCAGGAAUACUUGUUAUUCAUGGAAAACUAACGCUAUCUAGAAUUUAAAACAAUUAUGUGAGAAUGCAGCAUUAGUACCGCACUGUCCCCUGCUUCUAUGGCUUGUCAGGCAUUUGUGGCACAUGCCUGUAAUCUCAGAAUUCCAGAAGUAGAGGCAGGGGGAUCAGGAGUUCCACACGCUGGAUGUGUUUGAGGCUAGCCUGAUCUACACGUGUCUGUAUUUCUAAAAAGAAAGAUGGGGUUGGGGGGGCACGGUAGAGAAGAAGGCAAUAAGGGGAAGGGAGGACAGACAAAGUAGCAGGGGACAACUCAAAUGGUGUGGUCACCAGAUGACUCCCAGCAUUCAUCCACUCUUUCUGCUGUCCCCCACCCCCAGCCACAGCAAAGGCAGUAUAGACAGAAGUGGGCACAGAUGGACCCCCAGGGAAGGCUCUUAGCAACCCAGCUGUGCUGUGUCCACCCUUCCUAGCUACUUACUGAAAUGUCCCUUGGCCAGGUUUAGUGCUACCUCUCCCAGGGUCCAUGGGAGCUGCGGGGAAUGACAUGGAGAGAUCAAGAUGUUCUGACUCCAAUAGAGUCCUAUGUUCAGACCUCCUGGUUAAAGGACUGAGGAAAGUUUCUGAGGAUUCCAGACAGAAGGAAGUUGGUUAUUGGCUGGAGAUGCCCCCAAGCAGAAGUGCUCUGGCCUUAACAACAAAUCAGUAAGGCUUUUCCCAUUGCUCCUGCACCCCACCCCCAACUUGGGGUUGCUGCUAGAUUCCUGUUAAAAGGCCUGGGAGCUGCGGGUUUCUGAAAAUGGAGGUAGACUUUUGUGUGUGUGUGUGUGUGUGUGUGUGUGUGUGUGUUUUCUCUCCCAGCCCUGAGGAAAGGCUGCCUGUCCCCUUCAGCCAACCCUGAAAGUAUGUGUCAUCCAGCAUCGAGGAGGUCACCACAGCCACCGUGAAGCAAAGACCAUCUGGGGACCCUGGGAUCCUGGCAAAAGCAGGGUGAGUGGGUGGUUUGGGGUGGGCUCCAAAAAAGUAAGAGAUGCUUCCUCACAGGCAGUCAUUUGCCCAGAGUGCAUACUGAGACAGGUGGGGGACAAGAGCGGGAAUCACAAGAGCAGGCACAGACCUAAAUAUACAAGGCCCUGGGUUCCAUUCCCAGCAGUGCAUAAAAAAAAAAAAAAAAAAAAAAAAAAGUGCACACUUUAAAUGGAUGGGUCUAUCUCAAGAAAGCUAGCUUAAAAAGAAAAAGAAAAGAAAGGUGGACAGGACAUUUCCGUCCCAGAGGGCCUCAGGGCAAGGCAAGAACAAGAUGGGGGGGCAGGCACACUGCGCAUGCUCACACUCCUUCUCCUGCCCAGGAAGAAAGCCGCAGCCUGAGCGCUCUCGGAGCGCCUGUCUCCCAGCCUGAGGUGCAGUGCUGCAUCUCUGGUCAGUUGGGAGUCUGAGAUGAAGCACUGUAGCUCAGGAAGGGAGAAGUUGUUCUGCAGCCGUCACCGGGACGUGGUAAGUGUCAGUGAGGGGUAAGCAGGCUCCGUAGGUUGUCCUUAGACUCUGAAGCAGCUUGUGGCGAUGUUCCUGGGCUCAAGCUGUACCGGGCCCGAUCACUCUUGUGCCAUGUGUAACAGUAAGUGCUGGCCCAUUCAGUAGCGGCCAGCACCAACAUCCUGCCCCCCGCUUCCUCUUCCUGAGCCCAGAGAGGACACAGCUAACAAACGGAGGCAGCUACCCACUCUGGGAGGGUUCCAGCACACCCCAGAAACCUUUCAACGUUGCAUGCUGAAUAGGCACUGUAAAUGAUUCUGGACUGAAACCCAUUCAUCUCUGUAGGUCAGACAGUCCCUAACAACUCUUAGUCCAGGGAGGUAGCGGUCCAAGGUCCUGGCAGCCCAAUACACUGUAGAUGACACUGUCAUGUUGCAACGUCAAAACGUCACACAUCCCUGUUAGGCUUGGACUCACAAUCUUUGCUCUGAGCCUCUCACUUUGGCUCUGUGCUCUUGCCUAAACUGGUCCAGGCAUCGCACAAAUGUCUGCUUCAGAGAGGUGACGGGCACUGGAAUAUCGAUAUUUAACCUCCCAAGCUCAGUCAGAGGAAGGGCUAAGUCUCGGUUAACUGGCUGGCCUGAGGUCACCUAUGGGUAAUGCUGAGCUGGGGUUGUGUCUUCAUCUGUUUGCCUUCAACUCCACCUUCGUACCCACUGUUGAGUCUAUGGAACCUGGAGCCAGAGAGUAGGAACACAGAACAAAGCCCACUCUGGUCGUGUCCAUCAUUCGGCUCUAGUAACAGAGGCAGGACCACAUACUUCUAAGAAUCCCGUGGCCUCCCUCGCUUUCUUCAUCUUGACCCUUCACCCACCUAGUAGGUCCUGUUUGAUACCGCUUUACAAUUAAGGACAAGCAAGGCUCAGAAUUUAAGUGACCUACUGGGGGGACACAGGGAGAAAGUCGCUAGAGCCUUGGAACGGACUUCAUAGUCAUGGGCCAGAGUACGUGUGGUGACUGGGGCGUCAGGGGUGGGGGAGCUGGUCCCAGAUGCUUUCUUAUCAGUUCUGAUCUACACCAGCCGGCUGUCCUUUGAUCACAGGGAAGGUACUUUCCAAGCCACUCAAAGCUCUAGUCUCUCUUCUCAGAGCAAGAAGCUGCACCCUGGGAACUGGCUGCCAGAGCUAGGGCUGAAAGCAGAGAAAACUGCCUGUCCCUAGGGGCAUGGCGAGUGCUGAAGGCAUCUCUUUCCCACCUUGUCCUCACGGUCCAGUUUUCCCAGGAAUCCCUUGGAUGCUGAGAUGGGGAUUCCUGGAAAUACUGUUCUUGAGGUCAUGGCUUCACAGCUGAAUCUGCCUCCUUCCCAGCUUGGCAUUUCCUCCCCGGGAUGAGGGGGGAGAAGGCGGUGCACUGGAGGUAAGAGGCCUUGGGAGCUCUGACCUUUGCAUUGCUUUUCUUUCCACUGUGUCCAUAUUUCAUAACAGCCCCAGGAGGCUGGAUGUGGGAACCUCAGAACUGCCUCACUCUUGAGAAACUUUGUCUUCAAGCCGCAGUGGUUGAACCAGAACUCUGGGACAGCCUUUUCUCCACUCUGACCCUCCGAAUUCCUUCCCUGCAGGUCUUGCGGUGAGGAGGGGCCACAGGGCCAUAGCCACAUUAUUAAGAAAGUAACACACAAAUGUAUUUAAAAGUUUAUUAAAUCAGUUAGGUAAACUAACAACCAUUAAUCUGAGUUGGAUUUGGAGCACGGCCACAGGACAAUGAGCUUUCAAGGUGGACAAUACAAGAUUUGGAGCGCCCCCUGGUGGUGCAUCUGCCCACUGCAGGAACACUGUGCUCCCAUAUACACAGCCUGGCCUCCAUUCUGUUUCUGCAAACUUCUACCAAAAUGUUUUCUGUCCGAUCACUUUUGAGCCACUGACAUGCUUAAGCCUUAUUCACCUCUUGCCAGAGAUGCUUCUACGGCUUACAGUUGGCUUUUCCUUAGGCCUAAACCAGAGAAAGUUCACCUAGACAGCAAAAGGCAGAGCCAGGGUUGAUUUCAAAUUCAGUGGCCACUGGCAUUCAGUGUCUGAGCCAAAAAAAAUUUAAAUAAAUAAAUAAAUAAAUAAUGAAUAAAUAAAUAAAUAAAUACAUAAAUGAAUGAAUGAGUAAAUAAAUAAAUAAAUGCAGAGCUGGGUGCUCCUCCCUUAUGAUUUCCAGCCCCCCAACUCUUGGAAGUUAUUUCUUAUUUUUUUGUUUGCUGUGGAAAACACACACACACACACACACACACACACACACACACACACACACCUUUAAUCCCAGCAGAGCCAGAGGCAGGCAGAUCUCUAAAUUAGAGGCCAGUUUGGUCUACAGAGUGAGUUCUGGGAAAGCAAGAGCUACACAGAGAUGCAGUCUCAAAAACAAAAAAACAAUCUAUAGCCAGGACAUAGCUCAGCUGGUAGCGUGCUGGCCUGGAGUGUUUGAAUCCCUAGGUUCCAUGCCUAACAGCUGCACAGCUAAGGUGUGACGGUAGAUGUUGUAAUCCCAGCACAUGGCAGGUAAAGGCAGCAGGAACACAGGUAGGCAGUCAUUGUGGCUAAAUGAUGAGUUUGAGGCCAGCCUGGGCUUACAUGAGACCCUGUCUUAAGGGUAGGUGAAGCAAAAAGUACAAACAUUUAACUACAAUCAAAAUUAAAGACUGCCUCUCUGGUUACAUGUUGGGAUUCGGACUGGAUGAAAGUCAAAAUUGCUAAUGAAAUCCAGGCAUAAAACAGAACUUGGGCUGGGGAGAUGAGAGAGGGGGUUUAUCAGGAAAGGCACUUGCCACCAAAUCUGCAGACCUGACUUCAGUCUCCAGUAUCCACGUAGUGAAAGGAGAAACUGACUGCUGGAAAUUAUCCUCUGGCCUCCACAGACGUGGCCUGCUGUGUGCAGCAAACCUGUACACACACAAUAAAAAAAGAAAAAGAAAUAAACAUCAAGGGAAAGUUAGAACUCAGGCUCUGGUAAAGCGCUGAGUUUGGAUGCCCAGAGCCUGUGUCGAAAGCCAGGCGUGGUGGCACACUCAAGAUCCUAGUGCUGGUGGGGAGAAAGACAGGAGGCCCCCUGGGGUUCUACAGCCAGAGUUCAUGAGCUCCAGGGUUAGUGAGAGACAGUGUCCCCAAAUCAUAAGGUGGAAGGUGACAGAGGACACACUCAUGCACCCACCCCCACACACACUCACACACCUUAGAACUAGCCUUAAGCUGUCCCUAGUACAUUUUUGCUGAGCUGGUGGAGGUGGCAGUAGCCACAGCCCUCAUUUUGUUGUGCGGCCUCACAUCUCAAGAGACCAGGUAGUCCCAGGGGCACCACCAGCAUCCAGAGGACAUGUCUGAAGAGAGACUCCUUCCUUCCCAUACUCCGAGGCUGCUGCUGACCCCACUCUGAGAACAUCACACUUGAUGAUCAGUACCACCUUCCAUUCUCUGGCUGUUCAUACACUCAGCUCCAUCUUAGUCCUCAAACCAGCCCAAGGAAGUAGCAGACAAGGAGCCCAAGGCUGAAAGAGAUUAAGGCAGCUUAGGUCACACUCAGGAAUCGUUUUGACAGGAUUCAGCCAAAGCUUACAAUUCUCACCAUCCUAUGUGCCCCACACAUGGGGCCUGGCUGCCUCAGGCUGCACCUCCCCUCCCUGACGGCUUUCCCCCUAGGGAAGAAGAGCCUUCCUGUCUGUGUUAUGUGGCAGUAAUAAAGUGCUGGACCUUU